GAUCCUGGCUCAGGAUGAACGCUGGCGGCGUGCUUAACACAUGCAAGUCGAACGAAGCGCUUAAGACAGAUUCUUCGGAUGAAGUCUUUGUGACUGAGUGGCGGACGGGUGAGUAACGCGUGGGUAACCUGCCUCAUACAGGGGGAUAACAGUUAGAAAUGACUGCUAAUACCGCAUAAGCGCACAGGGUCGCAUGACCUGGUGUGAAAAAACUCCGGUGGUAUGAGAUGGACCCGCG
rnacentral:rRNA from 1 species